GUGCCAGACUCCUACGGGAGGCAGCAGUGGGGAAUAUUGCACAAUGGGGGGAACCCUGAUGCAGCGACGCCGCGUGGGUGAAGGAGCACCUCGGUGCGUAAAGCCCUAUCGGCAGGGAAGAAAAGCGAACAGGUUCGCCUGGACGGUACCUGACUAAGAAGCCCCGGCUAACUACGUGCCAGCAGCCGCGGUAAUAUGUAGGGGGCAAGCGUUAUCCGGAUUUACUGGGUGUAAAGGGGGCGCAGACGGCGAUGCAAGCCAGGAGUGAAAGCCCGGGGCCCAACCCCGGGACUGCCCUUGGAACUGUGCGGCUAGAGUGCGGGAGGGGCAGGCGGAAUUCCUGGUGUAGCGGUGAAAUGCGUAGAUAUCAGGAGGAACACCGGCGGCGAAGGCGGCCUGCUGGACCGCGACUGACGUUGAGGCUCGAAAGCGUGGGGAGCGAACAGGAUUAGAUACCCCAGUACGC
rnacentral:rRNA from 1 species